GGGGGUGGCGCGGCUGAGCUGCGUGCGCCCUGGCUCCGCGUCCUGCCUGCCUCUUGCGAUGCCACCUCCCCCUGGUUUGGCCAUCCGCAGCGGAGGGGUGGACCUGAGGGUGCCAACACUUGGUUUCAGCGCCUGAGGCCACGUUUGCGAGUUAACUUCGAAAGCGGGCUGUAGCUCGCAGUGUGCGCGUCUGCGGUGUGGACGCCUCGGACCCGGGACGGCGGGACGGGGGCAGCAGCCGCCCCCUUGGGUAGGGUGGGUGGUGCCCACCCCUGCGCCAGGCCGGAUGCUUGGUGGAGAGAGUGUUGAACCUUGAUCAUCGAAGGGCUUGCAUGUUUCAUUUGGCUUGCUCUUCAGCUGAAAGGACAGCGUCAGUAAAGAUGGAGAGAUUGAAAUCCAAGCAAUGGGGUGUCUGCUGGAUAGAAGCUUCCUAGGAGAGGGCAGAGGAGGAGUCUGGGAGCUGGUGGGAAGGCUGAGGAAGCGUCCUUCCUCUGCAUCAGGAGGAAGAGCCAAGAGACCUGAGAACUGGAGCUGAGAGGUGACAAGCUGAGGGAGCUCAAGCUGCCAGUGCGCUGCUCUCUGUGCGUAAACGUAGCCAGGCACCUGCUGCCAGAAGGGAGGCAGGCGUGGGUCCGGGAAUCAGAGCAGAAAUGAGACCGUGUCUAACAGUGACAGUGCAGCGCACAGCGUCAAGUUGCUCAGCUGCUAAAUUUGGGUUCCAUGAAUUUGUGAAUACGCCAAUUCAGCUUUUUAAAAAUUUUUUUUGUGAAGAUUUCGAUAAUUCCUCUUAAGUGUAUCAGAUCAGAUUCUGUUAAAAGUUCUGAAGCCUUUUGCUCAGCAUAUAAAAAUAAAUAAUUAUAAAAUUAACUCCACAUCUCCCAUAUGCCCUAAUCCUUAGUGAAAAUAUACGUGCAAACCUGUGACUUAUGUGAUUAAAAAUUCCAUUACUAAUGGGAAAUUAAAUGAACUCAAUAAAAC
rnacentral:lncRNA from 1 species